rnacentral:rRNA from 1 species
ACGCUGGCGGCAGGCCUAACACAUGCAAGUCGAGCGGCAGCACGGGUACUUGUACCUGGUGGCGAGCGGCGGACGGGUGAGUAAUGCCUAGGAAUCUGCCUGGUAGUGGGGGAUAACGCUCGGAAACGGACGCUAAUACCGCAUACGUCCUACGGGAGAAAGCAGGGGACCUUCGGGCCUUGCGCUAUCAGAUGAGCCUAGGUCGGAUUAGCUAGUUGGUGGGGUAAUGGCUCACCAAGGCGACGAUCCGUAACUGGUCUGAGAGGAUGAUCAGUCACACUGGAACUGAGACACGGUCCAGACUCCUACGGGAGGCAGCAGUGGGGAAUAUUGGACAAUGGGCGAAAGCCUGAUCCAGCCAUGCCGCGUGUGUGAAGAAGGUCUUCGGAUUGUAAAGCACUUUAAGUUGGGAGGAAGGGCAGUUACCUAAUACGUAUCUGUUUUGACGUUACCGACAGAAUAAGCACCGGCUAACUCUGUGCCAGCAGCCGCGGUAAUACAGAGGGUGCAAGCGUUAAUCGGAAUUACUGGGCGUAAAGCGCGCGUAGGUGGUUUGUUAAGUUGAAUGUGAAAUCCCCGGGCUCACCUGGGAACUGCAUGCAAACUGGCAAGCUAGAGUAUGGUAGAGGGUGGUGGAAUU